rnacentral:rRNA from 1 species
UUGAGAGUUUGAUCCUGGCUCAGGACGAACGCUGGCGGCGUGCCUAACACAUGCAAGUCGAACGGAGUUAAGAGAGCUUGCUUUCUUAACUUAGUGGCGAACGGGUGAGUAACGCGUGAGGAAUCUGCCUUUCAGUGGGGGACAACAGUUGGAAACGACUGCUAAUACCGCAUAAUGUCAUUCGGAGGCAUCUCUGAGUGACCAAAGAUUUAUUGCUGAAAGAUGACCUCGCGUCUGAUUAGCUAGUUGGUGAGGUAAUGGCUCACCAAGGCGACGAUCAGUAGCCGGACUGAGAGGUUGAACGGCCACAUUGGGACUGAGAUACGGCCCAGACUCCUACGGGAGGCAGCAGUGGGGAAUAUUGGGCAAUGGACGCAAGUCUGACCCAGCAACGCCGCGUGAAGGAAGAAGGCUUUCGGGUUGUAAACUUCUUUGACAGGGGAAGAGCAGAAGACGGUACCCUGAAAACAAGCCACGGCUAACUACGUGCCAGCAGCCGCGGUAAUACGUAGGUGGCAGGCGUUGUCCGGGAUUUACUGGGUGUAAAGGGCGUGUAGCCGGGUGUGCAAGUCAGAUGUGAAAUCUGGAGGCUCAACCUCCAAACUGCAUUUGAAACUGUGCAUCUUGAGUAUCGGAGAGAUCAUCGGAAUUCCUUGUGUAGCGGUGAAAUGCGUAGAUAUAAGGAAGAACACCAGUGGCGAAGGCGGAUGACUGGACGACAACUGACGGUGAGGCGCGAAAGCGUGGGGAGCAAACAGGAUUAGAUACCCUGGUAGUCCACGCGGUAAACGAUGAAUGCUAGGUGUUGGGGAGCAAAGCUCUUCGGUGCCGUCGCUAACGCAAUAAGCAUUCCACCUGGGGAGUACGUUCGCAAGAAUGAAACUCAAAGGAAUUGACGGGGACCCGCACAAGCGGUGGAGCAUGUGGUUUAAUUCGAAGCAACGCGAAGAACCUUACCAAGUCUUGACAUCCUCUUGACCGGCAUGUAACGGUGCCUUCUCUUCGGAGCAAGAGUGACAGGUGGUGCAUGGUUGUCGUCAGCUCGUGUCGUGAGAUGUUGGGUUAAGUCCCGCAACGAGCGCAACCCUUAUCUUUAGUAGCCAGCAGUUCGGCUGGGCACUCUAGAGAGACUGCCAGGGAUAACCUGGAGGAAGGUGGGGAUGACGUCAAAUCAUCAUGCCCCUUAUGAGCAGGGCUACACACGUGCUACAAUGGCGUAAACAAAGGGAAGCAGAGCCGCGAGGCCGAGCAAAUCUCAAAAAUAACGUCUCAGUUCGGAUUGUAGUCUGCAACUCGACUACAUGAAGCUGGAAUCGCUAGUAAUCGCGAAUCAGAAUGUCGCGGUGAAUACGUUCCCGGGUCUUGUACACACCGCCCGUCACACCAUGGGAGUUGGUAACGCCCGAAGUCAGUGACCUAACCGAAAGGGAGGAGCUGCCGAAGGCGGGACUGAUGACUGGGGUGAAGUCGUAACAAGGUAGCCGUA